rnacentral:lncRNA from 1 species
CCCCGCUGCCACCCCGGCCGGCCCCGCCCACGUUGUCAUCCCGCCCGCGGCCCUUCCGCCCCCGGCGGCGCCUGCCCACAGGCGCGAUGCGGCCGCGGGCGGGCGAGCAAGCCGCCGCGGCUGUGAGCCGGUCCGGCUGCAGUGCGCAUGCGGAAUCCGGGAGGCCGAAGCCCCGCGGCGCGGCCAGCGAGCGGGAGCAGGAGCGGCCGGCGCAGCCCCGGCGGCGAGCGCGCGGGGGCGCCCUCUGCCCUUCCCGCCCGCGCUCGCUGCCGGAAGAGCGCUGCGUCGCGGGCACGCAUGCGCCCUGCCCGGAGCAGCAUGACAGCUGGUCGGGCGCAUUUCUCUGCGGCGGCGGGGCAUCUGUCAGCUAACAAGUAAAGAAGAUGGAACGGCCUGUCCGCACAGGAGAACUGAGGCAUGGGUAGUCCACCGAAGGGGGACAUCUUGAAGAGAAGCAGCUAGACCUAGUGAUCCAGUUGUUGAUUUUGGUCAUCACCUGUGAGGCCAGCAUCCAAGCGGAAGAGGAAUUUAGGAGCUAUAUCAAAAAGGUAAUAGGUUUGAAGCAGCGACAGGCAAAUCAAGUGCUAUCAUUCUUCCACGUAGCUAAGGACUGAGAGGCUUGUCAGUUAAGCGUGUGUAUACGAGGCUUUGAGAAAGGAUACUGAACAGGAACGAUAAUACUGAAGCAGAAUAAAAAUCAGGUUUUGUGGAAGAUGGUGUAGGUA